rnacentral:rRNA from 1 species
UUUGUAGGUUCAUUAAUCAAGCCUUGGCAGAAGAACUUGACAAGUUUCCAACAAUUAAAGAUCCAAAUCACGAAAUUGCAUUUCAAUUAUUUGUGAAAGGAUAUCAAUUGCUAG